AGCGAACGCUGGCGGCAGGCCUAAUACAUGCAAGUCGAGCGCACCUUCGGGUGAGCGGCGGACGGGUGAGUAACGCGUGGGAACGUGCCCUUUGGUACGGAACAACUGAGGGAAACUUCAGCUAAUACCGUAUGUGCCCUUCGGGGGAAAGAUUUAUCGCCAUUGGAGCGGCCCGCGUUGGAUUAGGUAGUUGGUGAGGUAAAGGCUCACCAAGCCUACGAUCCAUAGCUGGUCUGAGAGGACGACCAGCCACACUGGGACUGAGACACGGCCCAGACUCCUACGGGAGGCAGCAGUGGGGAAUUUUGGACAAUGGGCGCAAGCCUGAUCCAGCCAUUCCGCGUGCAGGAUGAAGGCCCUCGGGUUGUAAACUGCUUUGUUACGGAACGAAAAGACUCUUUCUAAUACAGAGAGCCCAUGACGGUACCGUAAGAAUAAGCACCGGCUAACUACGUGCCAGCCGCCGCA
rnacentral:rRNA from 1 species